rnacentral:rRNA from 1 species
CCUACGGGUGGCAGCAGUGAGGAAUCUUGGUCAAUGAGCGCGAGCCUGAACCAGCCAAGUAGCGUGAAGGAUGACUGCCCUACGGGUUGUAAACUUCUGUUAUCAAGGAAUAAAGUGAGGCACGUGUGCCUUUUUGUAUGUACGUUAUGAAUAAGGAUCGGCUAACUACGUGCCAGCAGCCGCGGUAAUACGGAGGAUCCGAGCGUGUUCCGGAUUUAUUGGGUUUAAAGGGAGCGUAGAUGGGUGGUUAAGUCAGUUGUGAAUGUUUGGGGCUCAACCGUAAAAUUGCAAUUGAUACUGGCAGUCUUGAGUACAGUAGAGGUAGGUGGAAUGCGUGGUGUAGCGGUGAAAUGCGUAGAUAUAAGGAAGAACACCGAUUGCGAAGGCAGCUUACUAAACUGCACCUGACAUUGAUGCGCGAAAGUGUGGGUAGCAAACAGGAUUAGAUACCCUAGUAGUC